rnacentral:rRNA from 1 species
UACGGGGGGAGCAAGCGUUGUUCGGAUUUACUGGGCGUAAAGGGCGCGUAGGCGGCGUGACAAGUCACUUGUGAAAUCUCCGGGCUUAACCCGGAGCGGCCAAGUGAUACUGUCGUGCUAGAGUGCGGAAGGGGCUACUGGAAUUCUCGGUGUAGCGGUGAAAUGCGUAGAUAUCGAGAGGAACACCUGCGGCGAAGGCGGGUAGCUGGGCCGACACUGACGCUGAGGCGCGAAAGCCAGGGGAGCGUACGGG